GCGCCCUUCGUCUAUCGGUUAGGAUGUCAGCCUUUCACGCUGAAGAGGCGGGUUCGACUCCCGCAGGGCGCGCCA
rnacentral:tRNA from 6 species